UAGAGUUUGAUCCUGGCUCAGGAUGAACGCUGGCGGCGUGCUUAACACAUGCAAGUCGAACGAUGAAGCCCAGCUUGCUGGGUGGAUUAGUGGCGAACGGGUGAGUAACACGUGAGUAACCUGCCCUUAACUCUGGGAUAAGCCUGGGAAACUGGGUCUAAUACCGGAUAGGAGCGUCCACCGCAUGGUGGGUGUUGGAAAGAUUUAUCGGUUUUGGAUGGACUCGCGGCCUAUCAGCUUGUUGGUGAGGUAAUGGCUCACCAAGGCGACGACGGGUAGCCGGCCUGAGAGGGUGACCGGCCACACUGGGACUGAGACACGGCCCAGACUCCUACGGGAGGCAGCAGUGGGGAAUAUUGCACAAUGGGCGCAAGCCUGAUGCAGCGACGCCGCGUGAGGGAUGACGGCCUUCGGGUUGUAAACCUCUUUCAGUAGGGAAGAAGCGAAAGUGACGGUACCUGCAGAAGAAGCACCGGCUAACUACGUGCCAGCAGCCGCGGUAAUACGUAGGGUGCGAGCGUUAUCCGGAAUUAUUGGGCGUAAAGAGCUCGUAGGCGGUUUGUCGCGUCUGUCGUGAAAGUCCGGGGCUUAACCCCGGAUCUGCGGUGGGUACGGGCAGACUAGAGUGCAGUAGGGGAGACUGGAAUUCCUGGUGUAGCGGUGGAAUGCGCAGAUAUCAGGAGGAACACCGAUGGCGAAGGCAGGUCUCUGGGCUGUAACUGACGCUGAGGAGCGAAAGCAUGGGGAGCGAACAGGAUUAGAUACCCUGGUAGUCCAUGCCGUAAACGUUGGGCACUAGGUGUGGGGACCAUUCCACGGUUUCCGCGCCGCAGCUAACGCAUUAAGUGCCCCGCCUGGGGAGUACGGCCGCAAGGCUAAAACUCAAAGGAAUUGACGGGGGCCCGCACAAGCGGCGGAGCAUGCGGAUUAAUUCGAUGCAACGCGAAGAACCUUACCAAGGCUUGACAUGUUCUCGAUCGCCGUAGAGAUACGGUUUCCCCUUUGGGGCGGGUUCACAGGUGG
rnacentral:rRNA from 1 species